ensembl:lncRNA
UCAGCAUCCGCUUUUUCUUGUGUACAUGCUAUAGUGGUUUGAUUUGAUAUAACACACCCUUUAGAGCGGCGGUCUCCAGCCCGGUUCACGACCCUCCAAGGGGUCACUAGAUAACUCUAGUAUGGAAAGGCACAGCACCUUUGCUACGGUUUGCUUUUCUUCAUGUUGUUGAUCCGCCGGCGUGUGGUGCGGACUUACCUGAACUGUCACUGGUCUUGACCUGGACGAUGUAAGUGGUGAGCUCCACCAUCAGCUCCUCGUCCACCACAGCAGCCAUCUCGCACAUGGUGGUCCUCUUCGGUCCACGGGUCCUGGAGAGCCACUCCUCAUAGGUGAACACGGACACCUCCUCUGUGGCCAGGUUACGCAGGACCACCUGCAAGCACAGAGUUAGCUGACAAAAAGUAUGAAUGCUCACUUAAUCAUGCUUACAAUAAAAACAAAGCUAACAUUUUGAUUUUAAAGGUAGAAUGUUUUCCACUUUGGAUCAACGUGUUGGUAAGAGAACAUUUAUUAAUUAGUGCACCUCAGGCUGAUGGAAACGUCCAAAAAUCAUGGACAAGUUAAAAAUGUUGACCUGAUGAUGGCGCUAGAAGGACAAUUAACCUUUUCAGCUUGAAUGUCUGCACCAAACGUUACGGUACUCCAUUCAAAUAGUUGAGAUAUCUCAGUCAGAUCCGAAGAGAUGGACCGACAUCCCAGCGUGGAUUAAAGAAGAGUUGAUAUGAAUGAAUAAAUGAUCACAUCAUGGACACACACCCUGCCUCCCCCAGGAUGUCUGAUGUCUGAUCACCGGUCCUGGGAAUCGUUUCAUUACAAGAUAAAGACUCAGCUCAGGCAGCCGCACUCGUAAUAACUCUCCACUCUGCAUAUUUAUUUGUGCAGAUUACUCUGCUGGCAGCCUGCCCGGUGCACUGUCGUGUCCUUUUCAAUACAUGCACCCGGCGAUCCAUGAAGGCAGCACAUCUGCUUGUGAUGCCGAACACACAGGGCUCUGUGCAGGGUCAAGUCAAGGAGAUGUUUCGCAGUCGCCGAGUCCCAGGCACGAGCGGACAGGGCCCGCUAUUGUUCCUGACUGCUGGGCUGCUCUGCAGGCAGUGGUGACUUCACCAGGGGAGACAUUUGCAUAGGAAAUGUGUUCUGUUUCCUCCAAACAUUUGGCCACAGACGUCAGACAGAAUUUGGAGGUGAGCGGCGGCAGUUGCACUUCCAAAGUCAUCGAAGGAGAAAAUAACUAGGUGUAUUAAUGGAGUUGAUUAUGUUGCUGGAAUAUUCAUUAAAAUUAGGGAUAUUUGCACAACCGCACACCAUUUCACUCUUAAGGAAAUUCAAAAUCUCUGAGUACUGACUACACCAACACGCUGUGCUCAUUGCUGCGUGUGCACGAGGGUGAUGGUGCCAGAACAAAGAGCGUGAUUUCUUGCAUCUAAACACGUUUAUCCUGGUGCCUACUUUACCCACAAUGCAACUGAACCACUGACUGAUUGUUGACUAGAGCUGCCUCAGGCAGAGAUGAGGAGGAGGCCACAGAGGUCAGGUGAUCUGACCUGAUCCAGGAACCAGUCGGGUCGACUGCCGGAGCCAUCGAUGCGAAGCCUCAUUUUCCUCAGUGGAGCGACGUCAUCGAUCUCCAUGUUGAAAGUGUCCUCCUGACCGCGCUCGAACCUGUUGUGGAACACAUAGAGGACACAGAGUUUAUGAGGUGCAGUGUAAGAAGACUGUUUCUCCACAAUGCUUUUUUUCCAUGAAGGGCUACCUGUCCUCAUUCUUCUGCAGCAGCAUCUCCUCCGUGCUGCCGUUGGCUCCGAAUACAGACAUGAAGAUCAGGGUGUCUGUUCCUGCGUCCUGCACGUCCCCCGUUACUACGGUAACCUCGUAAAUAAUCUGAUGGGAAUAUAUUAGACGUUAAGUUAAAUCAAAUAACAUUAUAUUUAUAGUUAUAUUUCUAAGUAACAUAAAUAGAUAUGAAGACAAAGGACAACCAUUUAAUGGAAUAAAUGAACCUCAAAUAUGUCAAUUUUGAUGCAUAUUCUUAGCUGAACAACUUAAUCAUUACACACCACAUUACGGAUAUCUAAAUACCUGCUGGGAGAUGGAAAUGGCCUCUGCAUCCAGCACGCUGAACACUCGAGCAGUCAGACCAUCUCCUCGAUCUUUGGCCAGCCAGCACUUGCAAGCAAAGAUAUAUUUGACCCCUUUGGUUGGCACAGCAACAGACAGCUCAUCAACCAGCCAGCAGCUCUCAGGAGUGGCCCCGUCAUGACCUAGCUGCAGGCACCACGGGCAACAAUCACUACCAGAAACGUGGGUGGGUUUUUUCUCUUUUUUUUUUCCAAUGUGCGAGUGUGUGCGGAUGCUUGAAAGCGGACGAUCAUCCCGCCCCCUCACCUCGACUUUUUUGAUCUCCCCCACGUCUGAGCCGUGGCACUGAAAGCUCUCCAGGGAGCCGGCCUCAAAGCCCUUCCUCUCGCCCGGCAGGUCCAGCCACAACCUCUGUGUCUGGGUGUGAUUGGCCCCGAUGAUGAUCACAUAAGCCCUGCUGGUGGUGCUCGCGUCCCGCUCCAGUCCGGUGCAGAUGGUGAUGUGGUAUGGAAUGACUGCAGAGGAAGGCAACGGCACUUAUUAACUCACGGCGCGCCAGAGAUUAUGUAAAGAUGUCCCCGUUAGAACGGUGAUGACAAACAUUACAGUUUACAAUGCCGAAUCAUUUUCUUACUGGGAAGCUCAACUUCCUCCUCCUCCUCCUCCUCCUUCUUCUUCUUGCUCUUUUUGUUCAUGUUAUUGUCGACGCUCUUCACUGUCACAGCUGUGUUCUUCUUUUUACUGCUUUCUCUAACACCUUCGUAGCCCUGGAAUAACACAACACACACACACACACACACACAGUGAUGCAGGUACAUACAGCAACACAGAUUACUAAUACCUGUAUCACCUCCUACACAUAAUCGCAGUCGUCUUCAAUGCUACCUUGACAUAGAAGACUCUCUCAAUGCGUCGGUCCUCCCUCUUCCUGGACAGCCAACGCUCACAUAAGAAGAGAUACACCUCUUCUGUGUCCACGUCGAACACCUCCACCUGGUCCAAGUACCAGUCGGCACUCAUCAUGCUGUUGUCGUGGCGCAUUUUGAUCCUGAAAACCUGUCCGAGGUCAACGGCUUCUAUAGUGAACUUAUCCACCUAAAAGAUGAGCGUGAACAAGGAAAUAAUAACAGAGGCUUAAGCGCGUACUGGGUUCGAUGUAUUUGCUGUGGCACACAAAAGGCUUUCUUACAGAUCCCCGUUCAAACUUGUUGCUGUUUGUCUCCGACUUGCGGAGUUUCCUCUCCCCAGUGUCCCCCUGGUCCCCGUAAAUGGUGAGGAAGACGUUGGCGUCGGUGCCGGCUCCGUACACGUCGCCCGUCGUCACCGACACUGUGUAUGUGUGAGCUGCGUGGGGAAGGUGGGCAGGGGGGGGGGAGUCUUGUGUCAGAACUGUCUCUCAGAAAGGUGGGUGUCCACAACAGGCCCGACACAUGGCGCAGGUAUUCCUGCUGUGUUCUGCUGAAUGUGAUGACAUACUCUCCAGGGCAUCUUCCACCUCCACCUCGGUGACUUUCAGGUUCCCGUCUCGGGAGAGCUUCUCGGUGAUGAUGUCCGAGGGCACCAGCUCUCGCACGGUUUCUCCGUCGUCCUCCGACUUGGCGAGCCAACAUUCGCACGGGAAGAUGACGGUCUCCGAGCCCUACAGAGAGAGGAGGGCCGAUUCAUUUGUGUGUUCUUGCAAACAGUGGACGUGAUGUUCAGCUCUGAAAUCGCUGUGCUUGUUUAACCGCAUCUAUCUGUGCAGAGAACAUCACCACCUGCUGACCGAAAAUGGUGGUUGAGGGUCACCAGUGGAUGUGUUGGUUUUUUUUUUUUUGUUACCUUUCCCUUCCGGAGCAGACGUCUGAUCUCCACUCGGUCCAGGUGCCAGCCCGGGUUGACCCCCCGGUUGUCAUGGCCGAUCCGGAUCUUUUCAAUUACAUCCCCCACAUCUUCUAGCUGCGCAGAAAGCAGAAAUAAACGACCUGAAUGCAUUGAAUUCAGCCUGAAGUGAUGCCUUUGCUGUUCUCCAAUCUACUCAUUUAUUGCACCUCGACAAUAAACAUGUCUUCAGCUCCUCUCUCAAAGUACAUCCUCCUCUCCCUCUUGUUGACGCACAGAGACUUCUGCUGGGUGCACACUGCGUCCCUCCCGUAGAGGACAAUGAAGACGUCUGCGUCCGUGCCGGCGGCGAACACGUCGCUGGUGAAGGUCUUGAUUUCAUAUGGGACGACUACCAAAUUAAGACAAAUCAAAAACACAUUAUGUGCAUCAAAUAAGAAACACGUUUGUGUCAGUGUGACUGUCGUGCGGUGACCGUUUACAUGGCGUGUAAAGCUCCGUCUGGAGGGAAUUAGGGAAAAGGUCCCUGACGAUGGCCCCGUCGUCCUCCCCUUUGUCCAACCAGCGGCCGCAGGGGAAGUGCAGUUUCCGACCGAGAGACGGGGCGUCGAUCUCCACCCAGUCGAGGAACCAGCCUGCUGAUCCUCCACCUUGAAGACAGAACAUUGUGCUGGUGUGGACGCCCUUUUGCAUGGCGCGCUGCCCAGGCAGAGGGGGGGUGGACUCCUAUGUGGUCCUACCGUACCACAGUUGUCGUGUCCAACGCGCAGCUUCUUCAGCGGCCCGAUGUCCACAGCUUCCACGGUGAACUCAUCGACCAUGCCCCGCUCAAACUUGUUCUUAUGAGUCUUUGACGCCUCCAGCUUAAUUGUCCCUGCAGAUGCGCACGACAUAGAGUGGUGAUACUGAUAUAUUUUCUUUUUUUUACCCAUGCAGAGAUAUGUGAGAUCAGUAGGAUAGUUUAAAGUGUUACCUGUGUCGUCCUUGGUACCGUACAUUAUCAUAAAGACGUUAGCAUCAGUUCCUGCAUACUUUUUGUCGCCAGUUUUUAUCCUCAUCGUGUAAGUUGUCGACAUGGCUGUAAUGACAAGAAACAUGAAGAAAUUAAACAGUAGGCCAUCGUGUGAUUGUUAUUUCUGUUCAUUUUUUCCUUUGAAACUAAAUUAAAUGAAUGUCUUCUUGAGAGGUCG